AAAAGCAAUCCCCUGAGUCCAGCUGCUGGCGGGGAGCAGUGGUGCACCACACCGCCAGGCUGAGCCUCAGCCUUCAGUGUGGGGCAGAGCACCUGUGCCCUGCAAAAUGCAAACUCUGUGCUCCUCAAACAAUGUUAAAAUGAACUAUACAGGGAGGCAAAGGUCAAGUGAACCAUUAUUGUGCUGCAUUUUAUGCAAACAAAAAAAAUGUAUUAGAGGAUGUGCUUUGUAUUGUAACAAGCUCUGCAGAACCUGGCUUUGUCUGGCAUCUCGUAAUCCUGACCAGCUCAGGAAAAGGAGUCACUUGUUGCCUGGGCAUGGGAUUGAGCGGCGAAAGUGACCACAAAUGAAUCAGUAGAUUAGUUCCAGUCUACUUUUGAAUUGCAAGAUAAACUUGCUCUGCACAGAGAACAAGCUGUGUAGGAUCUGCUAUCCUGUCAUUCCAAAUUUCCUCCAUCAGAUUGAAGGGCCAAGAAAAAAGAGCAAGUUAUAAAAAGCUGAAUAAAACAUAU